rnacentral:rRNA from 1 species
CAGCCGCCGCGGUAAUGCGAAGGGUGCAAGCGUUAAUCGGAAUUACUGGGCGUAAAGCGCGCGUAGGCGGUGAGUUAAGUCUGCUGUGAAAUCCCCGGGCUCAACCUGGGAAUGGCAGUGGAUACUGGCUCGCUAGAGUGUGUCAGAGGAUGGUGGAAUUCCCGGUGUAGCGGUGAAAUGCGUAGAGAUCGGGAGGAACAUCAGUGGCGAAGGCGGCCAUCUGGGACAACACUGACGCUGAGGCACGAAAGCGUGGGGAGCAAACAGGAUUAGAUACCCCCGUAGUCCCUGUCUCUUAUAA